rnacentral:rRNA from 1 species
UACGUAGGGUGCGAGCGUUAAUCGGAAUUACUGGGCGUAAAGCGUGCGCAGGCGGUGAUGUAAGACAGUUGUGAAAUCCCCGGGCUCAACCUGGGAAUUGCAUUUGUGACUGUAUAGCUGGAGUGCGGCAGAGGGGGAUGGAAUUCCGCGUGUAGCAGUGAAAUGCGUAGAUAUGCGGAGGAACACCGAUGGCGAAGGCAAUCCCCUGGGCCUGCACUGACGCUCAUGCACGAAAGCGUGGGGAGCAAACAGG